rnacentral:rRNA from 1 species
CACGUAGGAUUCGAACGUUAUCCGGAUUUACUGGGCGUAAAGCGCGUGCAGGCGGUUUGGUAAGUUGGAUGUGAAAGCUCCGGGCUCAACCCGGAGAGGUCGUUCAAUACUGCCAGACUAGAGGACGAUAGAGGGAGGUGGAAUUCCGGGUGUAGUGGUGAAAUGCGCAGAUAUCCGGAGGAACACCAGUGGCGAAGGCGGCCUCCUGGCUCGUUCCUGACGCUAAGACGCGAAAGCUAGGGUAGCAAACGGGAUUAGAUACCCCAGUA